AUUGAUAGAAGAACAAAAACACACAAAAGAAAGUAAUAGCCAACGUAACAUGUUCGACCUUAUAAUACAACAUCAGAACACGCCCACAUCAACGUCACAGAUACAGGAAGUAUAAAUUACACGGCACAGCACAGUCUAGAACAGUGCAAACAACACAGCAAGCCAUGCACAAACACGGACAAUACUAAGUAUAUUUUCAGCUUGAGGCUCGCGGCCCUCUGGAGACAUCCACAACGAUCCUGGAGGGAACAUAAAAGAGAUCUGAAGCCAAAAAUAAAAGGUUUCUCUGCUACUACCAACCACAAAGGAUCAUGCAGUUUCCAUAGGAUUUUACGAGUAUAUACAAAAGCAUUCAAUCUAUAAAAAGUCUAAAACUGUGAGGAAGGAGUGUUACACCGACAUAAUUCGGGUAUUUUCCAUCAGCUGCUUUGGGUACAGAACACAACUUUUCGGCAGAUGGCUCUCCUGUCGCUCUCAGGUAGCAGCACAGUCAGUGAGAACUCCAGACCCAAUACAGACCGAGCAACCCAGCAGAGGAUUCAAGAACAACAGCGGGAACUUCUUGAACAUCCACCUUACAGCCUGGACGUGGCCUCUAGUUUGAUCUCCUAUGUUCCGCUGAUGAAGAGGUUGAAACGAAGGUGCGGAAGUUGAUGAGACAACAGUCAGAAUACUUCUGUGCUGCGGGUUUCGACGCAAUGGGAUAAUUGUAUCAAUAUUCAAACUUAUUUAUACAUAAUUCUCCGUCAAUAAUGCAGCUAUUCAUUUCUUCAUUCGAAUCUUCUUUCGCUAUUAACAUAACAUGUUCGGCCCCGAACGGCCAUCCUCAGGUGUCCCAUUAUGCCAAACUGAGUAUUGUCCAUCGUGAGGAUGGACGUUUGGUGCCGAAACACGUUGUGUUAAUAGCGAAAGCAAAUGUGAAUGUUGAAACAAAUUGUUGCAUUAUGACGGAAACAUGUACGUAAAGAAGGUUGAAUAUAGUAAUGCAACAGGAUGCUUAAAUAGAAAAAAAAAAUAUGUAUCAAUGUUGGUGGAGGAUAU